rnacentral:rRNA from 1 species
AGCAGCCGCGGUAAUUCCAGCUCCAAUAGCGUAUAUUAAAGUUGUUGCAGUUAAAAAGCUCGUAGUUGAAUUUCGGGGUCAGUAGGCUGGUCGUGCCACAGGUAUGUACUGGUCUUACUGAUUCCUCCUUCCUGAUGAACCGUAAUGCCAUUAAUUUGGUGUUGCGGGGAAUCUGGACUGUUACUUUGAAAAAAUUAGAGUGUUUAAAGCAGGCUAACGCUUGAAUACAUUAGCAUGGAAUAAUGAAAUAGGACGAUCGAUCCUAUUUUGUUGGUUUCUAGGAUUGACGUAAUGAUUAAUAGGGAUAGUUGGGGGCAUUAGUACUCAAUUGUCAGAGGUGAAAUUCUUGGAUUUAUUGAAGACUAACUACUGCGAAAGCAUUUGCCAAGGAUGUUUUCAUUAAUCAAGAACGAAAGUUAGGGGAUCGAAGACGAUCAGAUACCGUCGUAGUCUUAACCAUAAACUAUGCCGACUAGGGAUCGGAUGAUGUUAAUUUUUAAUGA